rnacentral:lncRNA from 1 species
UUUUUUUUCUUUUUUUUCUUUUUUUUUUUCUCUCCCCCUUUUCAAAUUUCCAUUUUACAAUUGGCCAAAAAAACCCCGAAGUCUGCGUGGAGUGAAAUGAAGCCAUUUGCAAAGCUAAUGAUGUUGUGAAGGGUGUCUGUGGUGAGCCGUAUCAGCCAGAUUUCAGAAAGGUGGUUCAAUGAGUGCAGCAUUAAAAUGAGGGACAGCCUCCAGCAAAAUCAUAAUUGAACACACCCAAGUCCUUAAUGUCUGCAGUUGGGUUUCCUGAUGCAAAUUACGAUAACAUUUCAGAUGUGAGCAGUCGCUUUCCAGUAGCUGCAGUGGAAAAGAGACAUUUUAUGCCACAAAGGGAAGAAUUACCAUGUUUAAAAAUGUAAAUAAUAUAUGUAUAGAAAGCUUUUUUAUGGAAAUGAGGCAUUCAGGAUUAUGUGAACAGUUUGGGCUAUUUUUUUUUCCCCUUUUAAACACAACAGAUAAAGAUGUGUGAUCUAUUAUUCAGGGCUUUAAUUACAGUUCUAAAACUGCAGUGAUUUUAUUUAAAAAAAAAAAAAAUCCCUGGGCAUAAAAAGUAAUGUUUUCGGUGGGGAAAGUUGAGGGAUUUUUUUUUAAUACAAUGGUGAAAAUACAGAACAAAAAAAUCACCGUUAAUAGAUUUCAAUGCUACAAAAUCAUACACAGAAAUACAUCUUAAAUGCUCUGGAAUGCAGUCAUCUUCCUGUAAAUCAGAAAAGGCCUUAGAUAAAUAGGUUUGACCUGAUUUAAAUUUAAUGAGAUACAUAGUCCUGAUUGUUAAUAAUUGGUGUGGGGGAACCCAAAACAAUAAAAGCAAUAAUCUCCUCAAGUAUAAAUUAUACAAAUUUAUUUAGCAAUCAGCCGAAGGGAGGGGGGGGAAGCCAUUAACAUUAUCAAUUUGUUUAGUUGAAGUUAGUUAUAAUAAGCAAAUAAUUGGAAGCCAAAUUGGCAGGCAGGCUUGGAGAAAGGGAAUAUUGGAGAUGCCUGUGUGUGAUGAAGCUCUGGGGCCACUAGAUGGUAUGGUCCUCCCAGCAGAAAGGGCUUUUUCCAUGCAAGGACCAUUCAUAAUCAUCCAAACCAAGUGAAACAUGGUUUUGAUUAAAGCAGCCUGUUGGCUCAAUAAUCUCGGUAAUUUUAAAAACAUCCUUAAUGUGGAAGCAGAACACUGCAAUGUCAGAGAUGGCCUUGGGGCCCAUUAUAAACAGCAACAAAAUAAAUAAGGAGAAGAAAUGAGAGGUCAUGAAAACAAAAUUAAGCUAAUGUUUCAAAUUUUGACAAUUAUGAAUUGUUCCUCCAAGAAGACAUUAAAAAAAAUAAUUCAGGCACUAUUAGAUAAAAUACAAAGAGAAUAAUUGUACAUGUAUGAGUUUCCCAUGGGACUAAGCAUGCUUUAAAAGCAAAACUUGACUUAGAUUUCCCCUCUUCCCCCCGCCCCCCUUUCUAGCCAGCAAUUGGGCAGGUCUCAUGCAAACACAGACUUGCUUCUCCAGUUCCUCCAAAAACUCCUCUCUAAUUCCUUUAUCAGCCAUUAAAAGAUGAUGACCAAGAAAACAAACAAACAAAAAUUACAAGAGUAUUUUCUAUGGGAAAAAAAAAAAUAAUAUCCCCCAUUAUGGACCUUUUUUUUUCUUUUUUUGUAGGAAACCGAAACAAGCAAAUAUAACAAAAUCUGUGUUCAUAACAUGGCAAUAUAGUUAAUAUAUACAAAUAUGUACAGUAUAAAAAUGCAUCAAAGGCGCAACUUUUCAUCCAAACAAGCUGCAGGGCCCGAGGAGGAGCAGCUUGGCCCCCUCCUCUCUGAGUUACAGGCAAUAUGUUCUAUACAGCAUGCACUGGUUCCAAAAUGAGUGCAGGAGCACCGAGACAUUCCCAGGGAAAGUCACCACCAGGCCUCUCGCCAGGGAGGCUGCGUUCUUCAUAUAAAAAAUGGGUUUAAUCUUGCCUUUUUUUUUUUUUUUUUGCCAUUUGGAGUAUAUACAUUUUUUUUUUUUUUAAAGAGAAAUGAGCUUUUGAUUCUUUAUUUUCCUUCUUGUUUUUGAAACAGGAUCCUAACAGCACGGGUCACAGGUGUAACCUGAGGAUGCUGCCAACAACACACAGAGGGAGCAGCAGCGCUGGGGCAGAGCAAACCCAUCCAGAUUCACCAGUGUGGCCAACUGUGCCUGAAAUGGGGCUGGGUCCCUCCUGGUUCCAGGUAACAAAACCCAAAACAAACACUCAGAGUAAAAGACCAACAAAGGAUUAAGAAGACAGGACAAAAGGGCGCAUUGUACCAGAGACAUAGGACAGAGAAGAACCCUGAGCCAAAUGAGAACUGUCGAGCUUGUCAGCUUUUGCAGCCUGUAUUGCACAUUGCAGCAGCUGCUGUGGGCAGAGCUGAGCUCCUGCCCUGCCCAUCCUGCAGUUCCUGCUGCCAGCAGUGCCCAGCUGCCUGCUCCCGAAGGGAUGCACAAACACACACAGCCCUGCGUGGCCCUGGCUGCUUGGUGUGUGCACCUGCACGUCCUCCUGGACACACACAGAUUUGCCAUUCUGAAAUGUCACCUGGACCGGCUUCUCAGUGAAAAUAUUGCCCACGUUUCUGGGCAGGAGAUGCGUGAUGCCCUGUGGGGAUGGGGAAAGCGUUCCCCGCCUUGAACGUGGCUGCACUUUUGCAAGAUGUUGUUCUCAUUUUCUUCACGAAAUACUGGUCGUUUUUCCCCCUGCUAUCUCAUCUAAGGAAUCUAAUGAAAGAAUUUGUUGCCUUUACUUAGAUCAAAAAAGGAAAGGAAAAAAAAAAAGUUUGCUCAGCUCGAUGGUGUGAACUGAAGUGAGCUGUGCGAUCCGCCAGGAUUAGUGUUUAAUCUGUUGUCUCAAACAGGGCUUUUUACAAAGAACUAAAGGCAUUUCAUGAGCUGAGAGGGAUGAUGAACUGGAAGUUUAUUACUCUACAGUUAAGUCCAGUGGUACAGUGAGCUCACUUUUAAAAUUACUCUCCAAGAAAAUACUGUGCAAACAUUUUGGUACAAGAAAUAAGUGUCGUCUGAAACUCCAUCUACUCUUCACUUCUCUUCUGGCAGAAUGAAAGCAAAAAUCCACCACUAGACUGCAGGAUACUGGGAUGCAAGUACUUGCACUGGGAUAAAAGUGGUCCAGCAGAGCAAAAGGAGCUGUACCAGUAUAAAGUGCUUUAUAUUGAUACAACUGGUGUUAUUUUUACAAGCAGAGUCACAUCGAUACCAAAGUUUUGCAAUCACCUCCCUGACAUAACUAAAAACCUUCUCAAGUGCUGGAGAUUUAACUUGCCUGGAGCUAGGGACUGAAGUUUCCUGGGCUUGUUUUCAAAAAUGCCUAAAUACGUUUAGAACCUGAUGUUGGGAGCACGAGGAUGGCAUUUGGAGCUGGGUAGACAGAGGGUAAAUCUGCUGGAUUUGAAAGGGGGUCUCUGGAUUUACCCAGGAAUAAAUGCAUCCAGAAUCUGGCCUCUGCUUUUCAGCAGAGGGAGGGGAGGGGGUCACAGGGAUGUGUGGGGUGCAAAGGUGAGUCAGCUUCCAGUAGCACUGCAAACCCAUUAUUUUAAUUAUUUUAUUCUUUCACUUUCCUUCAGAAGACAACUGGAGGAUAAGAAUUGUAAAUUCUGUGUGUUUUCCUCUGCAGGAAAUAAUGAAGGAAAAAAGAAAUCCCAGGAAGCAUUUCUGGAAUGACCACCCAGUGGCUUACUCAGGGCCAUCAACCAACAGGCUGAUCCUGAGUUCAGCUGCUGACAAAUGAAGACAUUAUUGAUUAAAUACCAUUGAAAUCUGCCUUUAGAUGCAUGUCCUUUAUUCUUUUGUUAUGUUUAGAUAUAUUACACUUGCUGUGGUCCAAACUGACCCAAAUGGUCAAAGGAUCAAUGAUCCUGGAGAUCUUUCCCAACCCAAACGAUUCUGGGACAUAAAAAAGGCUCUGUUUGCACCCACAAUGUCCAACUGAAACUUUUCAGCACCAUUAGGGAAAUGUUCUUAGUUCUAGUGAAAUUCAGGAACUUCUUGCUGACCAUUUCCAGCUGAGGACAAGAAAAGUUGUGACCUGUGGGACAAAUUGUGAUGGGGAGCAGAAAACCCAGGGGAGGAAAACCCCAGUGUCACUGACCCUGCUGUGAAACCCAACGAGAAGCUGGUCUGGGGGCUCUGGGGUGGUCAAUAUCCAGGAGUUACAGCUCCAUAAUUCCUAACCAACUUCCUAGGAGCAGAAAUGACACGUCAGGCUGUGCUGGGAGAAGAUGGGCACAUACCAGUAGCACUUGCUGACAGCCUAUGGAAGUGGCUCUAUCAGUGCUCCUGCCUGGGGACAGAUGGCCCUUAAAGCCUGCUGUAAUUGCAACGUAUUGAUCUGGAAUCUGUGAUCAAUACUGUCUUUAUAGAGAGAAUUUUAAAUAUAAAUUGCAUCGUAUAUCUGUUGGUGAGGACAAAAGCCCUGUGUGAUGGAGAUCCCCCUCUGCCAGCCCCGGAGUGACGGUGGAAUAUGGAGAGGGGACGGGGACAGAGCCACAUCUUCAAUCUCUGCCAAAAAUCAGGCUGCCUUCCUCAUUCCCUUGUGUCCUUAGCAGGUUUGAUCCCAAAAGAACAUCCCCAGCAUGACCCUGAGUGUCUGGGAUGAGCCUGGAUCAGGCCAUGGGGAACCAGCACAGAGCCAGUGUCCCCCCAGCAGCUCCCACCCAAAACCCCAAUAUUCCUUUUUCCUGGUCACCAGGGCAGCUGGUUUUCCAUGCAAAUCCUGCAUGGGUGCUUCCCAGUGGGAAUAUCCCCUUCUGGUUUAGGAGCUGAACUGUGGGUUUGAAGAAAUCAAUAAAUAUGGCACUUUAUCAAAACAUGAUUAAGGAAAGAAAAAGAAGCCAAAAAUUAGGGAAAAAAUCCUGCUAUUUGAAUGCAUGAGAGUUGACUCAACAGCCUGUAAAACUGGCUUGGAAGGCUUCACCCCCUAUCGUGCUAAUAUAUAAUUAUUGAUUUUUAAAAUGACUUUUUAUAUCCUCCCUGAUCUCUAAAAAAGCUAGGGAGGUCAGUCUUGUAAAUACUUUUACAAGUAGGUAAUAAAACCCAUAAUAACUUGCAUUGACAAGUAAUUACUGGGCAGGUUUGUUAGCAGAUUCUCAAAGAUAUUCUUUAAACCCAACAAUUAUUAUUGUACAUAUGACAGCCAUUUUUAAAGUUAAGUGUCCUUCUCCCUCUCAGCUUAAGUAACAAAAACCUGGAAAAAACACCUGAGUCUGAUCCACUGAAAUUCUUAUAUAUUGGGCCCCAAAGGGAUGCUAAUUACAUCUCCCUGUUUUAAAACAAAACAUUUUUUUUUCAGGUGAUAUGGCUUAUUUUGACAUGGAUGGUGGCAGGAAGGGAGCUGUGGUCUCUGAAUAAAUCUUUCAAAGUAGUGUGUAAGGGUAACAACUCUUCCUGCUUUAUUUCAGUGCAAGAGCAUAAACAGCUUGGAUAUGUGGUGUAUCAAUAUGCCACUUGUUAAUAAGCAAGGGCGUGAAUCAUAAAUAUUCUGCUGUUUGAUCACCAGGCUUUUAAUUAAUGUUUUGAUGAUCUCCAAUAAGAAUAAAAGUCAGAACGAUAGAUAUUGAGUAGCGAUGACAGAGAAAAGAUGCAAUGAUUUUUUUGUGCUACCUGAUUUAUAUGACAGAAAAACUAUCAACUCAUCCAGUUUCAUACAGAGAAAAGAGAGAUGUACAUUUUUUUAUAUCGUAUUGUAAAAAAAAAAACCAACCAAAAUCACUUAAUUCAAAUGUGUACCUAAAACGUUCCCCAAGGACAGCAAUGCAGGUAAAAUGAUCAAACUUUAGCACCGUGUGAUAAAGGUUUGUGGCCAGAUUUUUAAACAGAGUAGCUGCUCCCACAAAGUGAAGACUCCUGAGCAAAACCUGACCUCCCUCAGGGGGUUUGGCCUUCCCAAAAUCUCCCCAGACUUUUGCAGCUCCGGGGUCCCUGGUGGGGCUGUGAACCCUAUGGUCACCCUGGGGGCACCAUAAAGGUUUCCUGCCAAAAUUGAGCAGCUGCUGCUCCAAACAGCCCCAGCUCUGGGUGCUGUGGGCUGGCUGGGGACCCCAGUCCCCCUUUUUGUGGGAAGAAGAUCCCAAGAGCUCCUCGUGCAGGAAUUCCAUGCAGGAAUUCCUACAGCUUGGCCUUGCUGCAUGGAGAAUCCUAUUAAAACCCAGCCAAACUCCCGGCCCUGAGAGACCAGGGCUGGGAGCUUCACCUGUAGAUGCUGCGAGCAGCCCAAGAUUUUCUCCCUGCACCCAAAAGCUCGGGGAGAGGAGCCACACGUGCAAUUCCUCCCCCGGGUGAUUUUCUGCGGUGCUCGUGGCAUUUGGGUCGGCACCACAGGCCCCACCUUGUGCAACUUCAUAACUCCAGCCUGGGCUGUGCAAUUUAACAGCUUCUGAGGAGCUCGAUGCUAAUGCAUUGAUUUUGCUUUAAUAGAAUUUUGUUGUCGAUGGCCAGUGCUCAGCACGGUGCAGGCUUCAAUCUUAACCCAUCUGAAGGCUCUGCUCGUUUCCAGUUGAGCUCCGUUCAUUUCCAGUUGAAUAGGUUAAGCAAAGACAGACCUCACUGUUCUCAAUUCACUUUAUGAUCCUCCCAUCAUAAAAAAUAAUAUCAGCACCUUGCUUUUCAUGUCAGAACUACA